GAUGAACGCUGGCGGCGUGCUUAACACAUGCAAGUCGAACGAAGCACUUUAUUACAAUUUCUUCGGAAUGACGAUUUAGUGACUGAGUGGCGGACGGGUGAGUAACGCGUGGGUAACCUGCCUUAUACAGGGGGAUAACAGUUAGAAAUGACUGCUAAUACCGCAUAAGCGCACAGGAUUGCAUGAUCUGGUGUGAAAAACUCCGGUGGUAUAAGAUGGACCCGCGUCUGAUUAGCUGGUUGGUGAGGUAACGGCCCACCAAGGCGACGAUCAGUAGCCGACCUGAGAGGGUGACCGGCCACAUUGGGACUGAGACACGGCCCAAAACUCCUACGGGAGGCAGCAGUGGGGAAUAUUGCACAAUGGGGGAAACCCUGAUGCAGCGACGCCGCGUGAGCGAAGAAGUAUUUCGGUAUGUAAAGCUCUAUCAGCAGGGAAGAAGAAUGACGGUACCUGACUAAGAAGCACCGGCUAAAUACGU
rnacentral:rRNA from 1 species